rnacentral:lncRNA from 1 species
UCCCCCCCAACCCUAGAGAAGCCCAGCCGCCCUAAUAUUCUCCGUCAAACUUGCCGGCGACGACAACCCAAACUAUUUCAAUGGCUAUAAAAUUCACACCCUAGCUUCCUCUCCUUAUCCUCAUUCCAAUUCCACAUCCAUUUUUCCCUCGAAUCACAUUCAAAUCUCUCGAAUCUCACUCAGAAGCUGCGAAUCCAAGCGUCGCCACAGUUCCUCUGGUGGCAGUGCUACCACCGAAUCUCUACAAAAUUUACACCC